rnacentral:rRNA from 1 species
UACGAAGGGGGCUAGCGUUGUUCGGAAUUACUGGGCGUAAAGCGCACGUAGGCGGAUCGAUCAGUCAGGGGUGAAAUCCCAGGGCUCAACCCUGGAACUGCCUUUGAUACUGUCGAUCUGGAGUAUGGAAGAGGUGAGUGGAAUUCCGAGUGUAGAGGUGAAAUUCGUAGAUAUUCGGAAGAACACCAGUGGCGAAGGCGACUCACUGGACACGUAUUGACGCUGAGGUGCGAAAGCGUGGGGAGCAAACAGG